AACAGCGUGGCUCCUCUGCUAGAUGUACUCUCCAGCUCAGCUUCGACAACAGUCAGAGGAGCUUUAUGCAGUAAUUGAUGAGGUCCUGGCAGGAUCCCAACCAGUUGUAAGUGUGAACAUUUGAUCUUCCUAUUGAUUGGAAAUUGAAAGAAACAGUUCUUUUUUGGUCUGUUAAAGUUUGUUUGAAUUUUGAAAUGUUUUGGUUGACAGAUCUCAAAAUCAUCAAAAACCAACACUGGUUUUCAGCAUAAAUCUCAAUCGUUUCAAAAAUCCUUGGGGCGUGAAACAAAAUAUGCAUCUUUGUGCAGCCUUUAUCCAUCCCCCAAUAAGGCACGGACCCUGGUGGAUUCCGGGAAGGUAGGUGAUGUUCCAGCUCCAAUAGAAGAUUUUUGGAGAACUUAGCCUUUGAAAUAUAUAUUAUUUAAUAUUUUGUCAUUUUUCUCAGACAAAACCUGGAAUAAACCGACCAAUGACAGCUAUUCCCAGACUGUCAAUAAAAGACGAAGAUGCAUUUUACUCAAGACCCAUCAGGAAGAUUUGCACUGAUGCCAUCAAGAAGAAGGAGGGACAACCAAGUUUCGAUGAGGCCAAAACAAAUUUCUACAAUGCCUCAACCAGAAAGUUGCUGAUGGAGAAAAGAUCACCUGAAAGAAGUCAAUUUUCAGCGUGCGAGCUUCAUAUUAAAGAGCCUGAUGUGAUCACUCACCCAAGGAAAGGAACUUCAGUGUCCUUCAGUCGAAUGGAAGAAUUACAAAUUCAUAUUUAAAGCUAAUAUGUUUUCUAUGUUUUUCAACUGGCAAAAAUAAUGAGUGUAAGUGCAUGGAAUUAAAAAAGAUGUGGUCUUUCAGUGCGUGUUCUGCCAGAAAUUUCCAACAGUUGUUUCAUUUCAGGUGAGAGCUUGUCCUCACAAUUUCCAAACUUCUCUUUUUAUUUAAGAACAAGUUUUAAAAAAUGCCAAUUCAGUGUGUUAGCUUAUUGUUUUAAAACAUGAAAAAACAGUAAGUGAAAGUAUGAACACCCUUUCUGAUGAAAAUUGCGCUUUUGGUUGUUUUUAAGAUGUUCUUAUUUUUCUCACGAUUUUGUGUGAUGUUCAACAGUCUUUUCUGCAGCUCAGUAGCCUAUAUCAUGAUUAUGUAACCCUCAAAGUUCCCAGCCUUGAGCAUCUUCUCAGACCUACAUUCUUCCACUUUUCCUCCGGAUACAACAGACUGUUUAAUUUUAACUUGAUCAGAUCUCAGCUGUUUCAAAUCAGAAGCAAAUUAGGAUCUGCGCAUAUUGUGGUUUUGCUGCAAUGACAUCCAGCUUAAGCAAAAAGCAAACACUUGUUUUGAAGUGCAAAUGACAGUCCCUCUUACCGGUAGACUGCAUCAUUACAGGGUUUUCGAUUAUUCUGAGCGUAUUCACACACACUGCAUCAAAACACAUUUAUCUCUGGAAAACAGGAGUCGUCUCCUGAGCAAUAUGACUACUGUUUGCCUCCAAUGAUCUCCACACAAAAGCCUCAAUGUAUCUGAAAAUGAAAGCAAAGGAUGACACACAAAUGGAAACCUUCAUGUGUGUUUAUGAUCUUUUUUAUUUAAAAAUAAUGUCAUGCACACCCUUCUAUUUUAAAAAUAAUUGUAAUUUUUUAAAUCAAUUUUUUAUUAUACGUAUGUAUAUGAUCUUUAAUGUGAGACUUAGAUGUACCUUACAAGAAGUUUAAGACCAUGCUUUUAUUCUUUAUAUUUUUACACAUCAAGUUCAACACCUUUCUUGUCAUUUUAUACCUUUUCUGCAAUCCCAGUAGGAUUCUGUUUGUACAAAUAUAUAUAUAUUUUUUUGCAUUUGACCUUGUGAUCAAAUACAGUACCAGUGGAAUGGAUUGCAUCAUGUAGGAUGAACACACCUGAGAUCAAUAUUUCACUCUCCUAAGUUCCCAGACUGAAUAUAACUAGAAUAUUGCAUAAGUUGUUGGACUUGGUACUAAUUGUAAAUGGGAAAUAAACAAGCAUAUAAAAGAAUCAGCGUGACAAAUACAGUUGAACCAAAUUUUUAAGCAGCAGUAUGUCCAAAGUAGGUCAUGAUGGAAUACAAUACAACACCAAAGAAAUGUAUUUAAAAAAAAAAAUGUGCAGAAUAAAUUAUUCAGGUUUGCAUAAAAUCUAGGUCUUUUAGCUAAUCACAUAUUAGACAGUGGCCUUCUUGACACAAGUUUAGCGUAUGUUUACUGUUCUCAAGUAAUGAACAGAAGUAAAACUGUUAAAGGAUAUUAAUUUCAACAACAGCGAAACGUUUUUUUAGUUUCUAAAGCAACAAUACAGUAUAGGAAUUGGUGCCUUUUACAUUAUCCUUUCGUCUGGUCCCCAACUAAGAGGGUCAUUUCUGAGCAGAGACUGCAGAUACUAUGUCCCAGAAACUACACGUUUUUGAUAUAGGCUACGAUCGAAACUGCAUAAUCACAAUCAAAAGACCUCUACAAAGGCUUUUAGGCUCAAUGCGACUUGCUUCCCUACUCUUACGGCUUCUCCCGACCUUCACAAAAAUGUGAAUUACUAUGGAUUACUAUGGAAAAAAUAGUGUCUUUAAAUUCUGAAGUUACUACCGCUUGAUGACACAUAGAGCCGUUGCUACCAAGACCUGGCUAUCCCUCUGCCGGUAGGGUGAUCCGUGUCACACUAUGGGCAGAGGAGAAACUCAUUUCGUCCUGGGUGUGUUCUGAACCACAGCAGUUUAUACUUAGAUGUAAAUGUUGAGUUAAUUUCAACAACAACGAAACCUUAUUUUGGUUUCUAAAGCAACAAUACAGUAUAGGAAGUGGUGCCUUUUACAUUAUCCUUUCGUUUGGCCCCCAACUAAAAGGGUAAUUUCUGAUCAGAGACUGCAGAUACUAUGUCCCAGAAACUACACGUUUUUGAUAUAGGCUAGGCUCAAAU
ensembl:lncRNA